rnacentral:rRNA from 1 species
GACGUAGGGUGCGAGCGUUGUCCGGAAUCACUGGGCGUAAAGGGCGCGUAGGUGGCCCCGUCAAGCGCGCGGUGAAAGCCCCGGGGCUCAACCCCGGGUCGGCCGUGCGGACUGGCGGGCUCGAGCACUGUAGAGGCUCAUGGAAUUCCGGGUGUAGCGGUGGAAUGCGUAGAGAUCCGGAAGAACACCGGUGGCGAAGGCGGUGAGCUGGGCAGUUGCUGACACUGAGGCGCGACAGCGUGGGGAGCAAACAGG